rnacentral:snRNA from 1 species
AUGCUCGCUUCGGCAGCACAUAUACUAAAAUUGGAACGAUACAGAGAAGAUUAGCACGGCCCCUGAGCAAGGAUGACACGCAAAUUCGUGAAAUGUACCAUAUUUUU